rnacentral:lncRNA from 1 species
CUGUCCACCCGUAGGCUGGAUGUCUCCACAGGUAAAAGGCCACAUCCUCGUGCCUCCAAACGCACGGCUUUCUAAUACGAAAAUCUGAAGACUGAAGAAUGUGAAGUAAAUCACCCUGGUAUGAACACACAACCGACUACACCUCUGGCCAAGGAAUGCUUCCUUCCCGGAUCCUUUCCUGGCUCAAGCAAUUUCCCCGAGACAACAAACUCCCCCAAGGGAAGGCAGAGGGGACACGGCAGGGAGUGCAUGGACUCCUCCCGCUACGGCCUGCCAAGCAGCCAGGAUCACAGUCAUGCGACACCAUGCCAGGAUCAGAGAUAAUUUUAAAUAGGCUGGCAAGUUAAAGACACCUCUUCCUGGGGCAAUGAACAAUGAAGUGAAUCAAGGCUGCUGAUGGGGACACCCCGGCCAGACCGCCAAGGCUCCUGUGCAGAGCCCCCAGGACACCACAUCGCUGAGCCCCACCACAGGCAGGGCACAGAUGCAGAAAUCUACAUCACAUGUCAGACUGGGGACAUCCUGGAGAGACAUUCUCAAGCCUACAGGAAAGGAAGACACAGUACACAUGGUGAACCCACUCUCCAUCCUGGCAUACCGCUCCUAUGAACCCAGUGUUGGGGCUCAGAAAACAAGACCCCAAAAUGAGGGCUUCCCAAGCAGCCUCAGAAGCAAAAUUUUAUCUCUGACCUUCUCCUCCCCUCCUGUCUCUAGCCCCUCAUUCUCCUCCCAGGCUGACAUAGAAACAGAAUCCCUCUUCCCCAAGGUGGGUCAUAGAAACCAGGACACCUUUUUCUCUAAAGCCAGCCAGAAAGCCUAAAAAUAGGACUCCAAUUUUCUCUCCAUCGUUCUGUGUAAAACCUGGCCAUGAAGAAAUGAUCUGACCUACUUUGUUUGGCUGUGGAUCCAAGACCCCCAUUCCAGCAAGGGUCCUGCUUCUCACCCAGAAGAAAAGGGCACUGCUCAGAAGGCCAAGAAGAAUCCAGACAGACAGGCCUAGCGGGGUGUCCCCACUCAGUCUGUUCUCACUAGAUCCAACCCUAUUUGCCCAAUCCUAUUUCCACACAGUUGUCCAUACUUUAUGGAACCUAAGCAUUAAAAUGGACAGCUUCUU